rnacentral:rRNA from 1 species
UGGGGAAUUUUGGACAAUGGGCGCAAGCCUGAUCCAGCCAUGCCGCGUGCGGGAAGAAGGCCUUCGGGUUGUAAACCGCUUUUGUCAGGGAAGAAACGCUCUGGGCUAAUACCCUGGGGUAAUGACGGUACCUGAAGAAUAAGCACCGGCUAACUACGUGCCAGCAGCCGCGGUAAUACGUAGGGUGCGAGCGUUAAUCGGAAUUACUGGGCGUAAAGCGUGCGCAGGCGGUUUGGUAAGACAGAUGUGAAAUCCCCGGGCUUAACCUGGGAACUGCAUUUGUGACUGCCAGACUAGAGUGUAGCAGAGGGGGGUAGAAUUCCACGUGUAGCAGUGAAAUGCGUAGAUAUGUGGAGGAAUACCGAUGGCGAAGGCAGCCCCCUGGGCUAACACUGACGCUCAUGCACGAAAGCGUGGGGAGCAAACAGGAUUAGAUACCCCCGUAGUCCCUGAGCGGGCUGGCAAGGCGCAU